GGCUACCACCAUAGCUCAGUGGUAGAGCAACUGCUUUACAUGUAGAUGGUCCCAGGUUCAAUCCCCGGCAUCUCCA